AAGACCUUGCACUUUUGGAGCGGCCGAUGUCUGAUUAGCUAGUUGGUGGGGUAAUGGCCUACCAAAGCUUCGAUCAGUAGCUGGUCUGAGAGGACGGCCAGCCACACUGGGACUGAGACACGGCCCAGACUCCUACGGGAGGCAGCAGUGGGGAAUUUUGGACAAUGGGCGCAAGCCUGAUCCAGCCAUGCCGCGUGAGUGAAGAAGGCCUUCGGGUUGUAAAGCUCUUUCAGCCGGAACGAAACGGUUACGGAUAACACCCGUGACUACUGACGGUACCGGAAGAAGAAGCACCGGCUAACUACGUGCCAGCAGCCGCGGUAAUACGUAGGGUGCGAGCGCUAAUCGGAAUUACUGGGCGUAAAGCGUGCGCAGGUGGUUUUGUAAGUCAGAUGUGAAAGCCCCGGGCUCAACCUGGGAACU
rnacentral:rRNA from 1 species